rnacentral:rRNA from 1 species
AUUGAACGCUGGCGGCAGGCUUAACACAUGCAAGUCGAGCGGAGAUGAGGAGCUUGCACCUUAUCUUAGCGGCGGACGGGUGAGUAAUGCUUAGGAAUCUGCCUAUUAGUGGGGGACAACAUUCCGAAAGGAAUGCUAAUACCGCAUACGCCCUACGGGGGAAAGCAGGGGAUCUUCGGACCUUGCGCUAAUAGAUGAGCCUAAGCCGGAUUAGCUAGUUGGUGGGGUAAAGGCCUACCAAGGCGACGAUCUGUAGCGGGUCUGAGAGGAUGAUCCGCCACACUGGGACUGAGACGCGGCCCAGACUCCUACGGGAGGCAGCAGUGGGGAAUAUUGGACAAUGGGCGGAAGCCUGAUCCAGCCAUGCCGCGUGUGUGAAGAAGGCCUUUUGGUUGUAAAGCACUUUAAGCGAGGAGGAGGCUACCUGGAUUAAUACUCUAGGAUAGUGGACGUUACUCGCAGAAUAAGCGCCGGCUAACUCUGUGCCAGCAGCCGCCGUAAAAC